rnacentral:misc_RNA from 1 species
UGUUGAAUUUAUAUGAGCAUUGCAUUACUCUCAAGUUAAAAAUUGCUCGAAAGCUUUGCAUUAAUGUCUCAGAUUUCAAAUCAUUUUAUGUGAUAAGGUUUGAGUCGCAGGACUCGAUCUAUAUUAUUGAAUCUUUGUCAGGUAACGCUGGGCAUCAUUACAUACCAAUGAUGGGAGAUUUUAGAAGAGUUGCUGCAGACUCAACGACUUGUAAUGACCCACCCUUUUCCGUAAACCCUAAUAUUAAUCCAGCCAGAUGCAACAAGAUUCCCAACUUUUAUUCCGCUGGAGAGGCAAUGAGCACCACCAUUCCAGAAAGAAAAUUCGUCCAGGCACAACGAAUGGGCUAUAUCUGUAUCUUCGCAGUUCAAGUACCAACUGUACUUGUGAAAAACAGAAUCUGCCACAUGAUGAUUCCAGGACACUGCACAUUGCAAAAGAAAUCCAAAAUCAUAAACGCAAGUUCUAUAAACAUUUAUUUAGAAAGAAGGGCAACACGCUUCAAUCCUAAUUUAAAUACAACUGGCAUGUACAGUACAUUUGGUGCACAUAUUAUUAUAAGUUUAAACAUAAAAUUCUCCAAAAAAAAAAAAUUCCCAGAAAAACUGGUCGGAUGCACAUCUUCAUGAUUCUUCAAUCUAUAAACUUAUGCGCCGCCUGAUAGCUGGAGCUGCUUAAUGUGCAUGAUCUGCUUUCCAGGGUUCAAGCCUUUAGGGCAGGCACGGGCACAAUUCAAUAUGGUAUGGCAGCGGUAAAGCUUAAACUCAUCAUUUAUUGCCUCCAAUCGUUCAUUGGUAUAUUCAUCACGGCUAUCACUGAUCCACCUGCAUGGAACAGAAAAAUCACAAGAUAAGUCAGUUCACUCUCACUGUCUUGAGAACAACUUAAAUAAUGUUCAUUGUGAAUUUGUAACUUAUGUUGUAGAGGCAUGAACAAUUAAAUAAAAUAAAAACAACCCUUGCAGGCUGAAGCAGGUAAAAAAACAAACCUUGGUAACUGGAAACAAGUCUGGUUCGAAACAUCCCAGUAUGGAAGUGUAUGACACAACAACAAGAGAAGGAACACCAAUAAAUUCAUUUGUUUUACUCCACAAUGCAGAAUCUAUAUACAAGUUACUCUAAAAAGUUUCACAUCCAGUAGGCAGUGCAAUGACUACAAGAUAAGUUGAAAUAAGUUAAUCAUCAGAACAUGAGCUCAUUGUUAGUACACACUUACAAAUUUAAGUUGACAUUAACCAUAAAAAUAAAUUUUAGUUCAGGAGUAUUAGUAUCUUUGGAGUGGACCCUGAAGUCAAAUUUAUGAUCACAAAUUAGUUUUGAUCAGUUUUCAUUGGAGUUCCUUUGGCAUCAAAUGUUUAAACACAAAAAUCCAAUCACAGACAGGCAAAAUGGUUUUCAAGGAUCAUCUUAUGAUAACUUAUUCACAUACUAAGCUCUGUAAAAUAGCUCUUGUAUUGUAUAGGAUCAAAAACUUUUGGAGGCUGUGAAACAGGACACAUCAAGGAAAACAAGUUACAAUAUCUAGCAUAUGAGGAAGGAUAUGAAUCACGAUUAAAGCUUUAAUGAUAUGAAUCAUGAUUAAAGCUUCAAUGCUAUGAACCAUGAUUAAAACUUCAUUUUUCCAAAAAUAAAACACAAUAACCUAUCAAAGCAAAAAGUUCUUUUGUUGAUUGUGAAUUAAACUACACAAUUAUCCAUUUACGUUCUUGAAUAAAAAAAUUGAAGAAACAAAAUGAACAAGCUAAAAUAUGCUCAAUGAAAGAACUCAUAUAGAAACAUUUCUAUCUUAAAUGCGGAUUCAUUCUUUUUCUUCAAUCCUGUCUCAGUGUCGGACUUACUUGAACCAUCUCUCUCUCUCUCUCUCGGCCUCUACG